rnacentral:tRNA from 1 species
UCCUUGAUGUCUCAGUUGGUAAAGAAACCGCCUGCAAUGCGGGAGACCCCAGUUUGAUUCCUGGGUUAGGAA